GAAACCAGAAGCAAAGCAAGCUUCCUCUCUUCCCUUUUUGCUGACUCUUCUAUAAUAGCCGUAACCCAACAGCUGGAUAAAAACCACCAACAAUAUUGCAAAAUUCAAAUGAUCAGGUUCAAGCGCUCUGCAUCUUGUAUUCAAUGGCUAAACACCACUAUUAAAACAUAGCCUGCAAGUCUCUCCACACAAACUCCAACUAUCGCCAAAUCCACUUUCAUAUCCAUGUAGUCAUUGCUAAUACUUAGCAAAAGCACUGACUAUCACAGACUACAGCAUGCCUUGCUGUAGCUCUGAUCCCCAGCUCCAGUUCCUAUACGCCAUUCUCUCUUUUUUCACUGCAGUCCCUUUGCUUUCUCAUCCAUUGCAUUUCCAGUGCUAUUUCAUGCUCUCUCCGUAUAUGUGCGGGGAUGUUUGUGUAUGUACAUGUGGUUACAUGUGCAAAUGCAUGCUGCAUAUAUACGCAUGCGCAAGCAUGAAUACAUUCGGAUGCAUGCAUUUAUAGAUAGCCCAUUUGUGCACUUCUGUAAUUACAAUAUAAAUGUGUAUGUGCUUACACAUGCUUGAUGAAAAUCUUGAAUGUAAAUCUCAAGACUAAAUUGUGUUGGCCAGAAUUUGGAGAGCCGUGGGAGGAACUGCAUGGGACACGAGUCACCGUUAUCUCUGUCCAAGGCUGACCGCUUUCAUUUGUCAGAGGUUUAUCUCCCCAGAGCAUGCAGGAGGCUCUUCUUUCUGAAACUGUCUGGAGCUAACAGAAAAAUGGCAUACGGUAAACCAGACUGGCUGAGCAGAGCUGGAGACAGCGGUGGGAAAGGGAAACAGUUGUUGGGAAAAUUCAGCAGGCACCGGCUUCCUCCACCGUCAAGACGAGGAUCAUUCGGCACCAAGAUGCUUCCUGUGCUUCAACGCCUGUGCUGCAUAUGGCUAGUGUUCUGAGCACUGGGACUUUAUGUGCAUGUGGACAGACAGGUGGAAGUGCAAAGGGACAUCGGAAACAUUUCCUGAGACUGCUAUGUUCUGCUCUUGCGGAGGCCAGACUAGAGGAAUCUCUGCUUACAGUACAUACUGCAAACAAAUUCAUGGUAUAUCUGCUCUCUAAGCUAGGAAAAACACUGCAGGAGCAGCACUGCACUUGUCUUGCUGGCAUUUUAAUGAGUUCACGAUAUUCACGGUACCCUUACUGCAGGCUGGGUUUCACAAGCAUUGUGGAUGUUAUAAAUACUUGUAUUCUGACAUGACAGUCACCACACUGGUGUGCAUCAGACAUUUGGAGCCUCUCCUGGUUGCCCAGAAGCCACAGCACAGCUUGAAUGAACAAAGUUGCCGGGUAGCAGAGGAGACAUCUGUGGGAUGUUCUACUGGACAGGAACUCCCACCCAUGAUUGACUAGCUGCCAUAGGGUUCAAAUGACUUUUGGUCUGAUUCUUCUUUUGUGUGCUUGGCUCAAGAAAUUCCCUACCUUUGGUAGAAAUUCUCUAGCGUGUUUCUCUAGGACUAGACAGCGAAGAGUUCAGAGCUCAAACCCUGUCUGCACGUGCUUGUUGCUCUGAGGCUAUUUGUUCACCAAAAUUAGUUCAAAAAUGGAAGGUGAGAAUAAAAGAGAAAUUUGUGGGGGAAGCCA
rnacentral:lncRNA from 1 species